rnacentral:lncRNA from 1 species
GGGGGAAGGGCAUGGUGGACCCCCUGUUCCAAGCCCCCACCGGGAUGGGGACCCACGACGCCGUCCUCAGCUCCUACGAGUACCUCAGCCAAGGCCUCCGCGAGUACAACCUCGACAACAAGCUCGACGGCUUCUACAUCGCCCCCGCCUUCAUGGACAAGCUCGUCGUCCACCUCUCCAAGAACUUCAUGACCCUCCCCAACAUCAAGGUUGCUCACCCACCUCAUCACAUGCUUUCUUCUUAUUCUAUUAAUAACAUCUUGGCACCUGCAGAUUCCGUUGAUUCUGGGUAUAUGGGGAGGCAAGGGGCAGGGGAAAUCCUUCCAGUGCGAGCUGGUGUUCCGGAAGAUGGGGAUCAACCCGAUCAUGAUGAGCGCCGGUGAGCUGGAGAGCGGGAACGCGGGAGAGCCGGCGAAGCUGAUCAGGCAGCGCUACAGGGAGGCGGCCGACAUCAUCAAGAAGGGGAAGAUGUGCUGCCUCUUCAUCAACGACCUCGACGCCGGGGCCGGCCGGAUGGGCGGCACCACCCAGUACACGGUCAACAACCAGAUGGUGAACGCCACGCUCAUGAACAUCGCCGACAACCCCACCAACGUGCAGCUUCCCGGGAUGUACAACAAGCAGGAGAACCCCCGCGUGCCCAUCAUCGUCACCGGAAACGACUUCUCCACCCUCUACGCGCCGCUCAUCCGUGACGGUCGUAUGGAGAAGUUCUACUGGGCACCCACCCGCGACGACCGUGUCGGUGUGUGCAAGGGUAUCUUCCGUACCGACGGCGUCUCCGACGAGUGCGUCACCAAACUCGUCGACACCUUCCCCGGCCAGUCCAUCGGUACUACCCUAUAUUCAUUCAUUCUCUAUAUACAUAUAUCUCUUCACUUCAAUAUUUACAUCACAAUAAUCAUUUUCAUAUUGCAAAUCUACAAAAUACCUACUUUUUGACUUAUUAUACUGUUUUGACUUUACUUGACCAAUUUAAGACUAAAUUCAUAACUAAACCUAAUUUUAGUUGCGAAUUGCCCGCCCUAGCUAUUUCAAGAGCAAUUCAAAACUCUACAUACUCUUAAUUAUGAAUUAAGGGAUAAAACAGUAGAAAUGGCUGUUUUUAUCAUUUUUAUAUUCGUGGCUAGUUAUUUUACUAUCUUGAAAUGAUAAGUCCACUCUUUAUCAACGUAUCUAUUUUGUUGUUGUAAAGAUAAAAGGAAUAAAAGAAAAUAGUAAUUUUUUAGUUCAACGUAUUGUUUUGGUCUUAAUUAGCAUGAGGCUAGCUUUAGAUUAUACUAGGAAGCUUCGUAGUUGUAAAUUAUAAGCAAAGAGUAAUUCAUUUUUUUGAGGUGCAGUAAAAUAACGUUAUUCUGUUUACUUUCAGAUUUCUUCGGUGCUCUUCGGGCGCGAGUGUAUGACGAUCUAGUGAGAGAGUGGGUGAGCGGAAUUGGGGUGGAGAACAUCGGACGUAAGCUGGUGAACUCUCGGGACGGGCCGCCGGUGUUCGAGCAGCCGAAGAUGACGCUGGAGAAG